rnacentral:rRNA from 1 species
UAAUACAGAGGGUGCGAGCGUUAAUCGGAAUUACUGGGCGUAAAGCGCGCGUAGGCGGUUACAUAAGUUGGAGGUGAAAUCCCCGGGCUCAACCUGGGAACGGCCUCCAAAACUGUGUAGCUUGAGUACGGGAGAGGGAGGUGGAAUUCCGGGUGUAGCGGUGAAAUGCGUAGAUAUCCGGAGGAACAUCGAUGGCGAAGGCAGCCUCCUGGCCUGAUACUGACGCUGAGGUGCGAAAGCGUGGGGAGCAAACAGG